rnacentral:sRNA from 1 species
UCCAAGGACAGCCUUCCCAGAAGAGCUAGAGGUCAUGGGGGUGUCAUGGAUAGGUCAAUGGCCCCAAGGAAAUGAGCUCAGAGGGUCUCAUCAUCUCAUCCUUCUAGCUUGCCCCCACUAAGUGGUGUGCCUUAAUGUCCCGGGUUUUCCAGGGCUGACACCCACUCUCAUGUAUUGGGCUGCGUGUUGGUUUGAAAAGGGGUUAUUUCAGGAAGGUGCUAGGUCCUGUCCAGUUCCCUGGCAGUGCCCCCACACAGAGUGACUGGGGGAGGUCAGGAAAUCAGAAGGUGGUCCUUUGCCACGUGUAGAACCAAAAGACUGGUUAGUCACUUUGGGUGGGCUGGACUGCACCGUGGAUGGCAGGGAGGAUGCAUCCUUGCUUAGUGGCCUUUUGGAUUGUAGCUGUUGCAAUGGCCUGAGGCUUUCAAUCUCUUCCCCAGACCAAGAUACUUGGUAGUGACCGGGUGAAGCUGAUGGAGAGUCUAGUGGUUGGAGACAUUGCAGAGCUAAGACCAAACCAGGGGACACUGUCGCUGUUUACCAACGAGGCUGGAGGCAUCUUAGAUGACUUGAUUGUAACCAGUACUUCUGAGGGCCACCUGUAUGUGGUGUCCAACGCUGGCUGCUGGGAGAAAGAUUUGGCCCUCAUGCAGGACAAGGUCAGGGAGCUUCAGAACCAGGGCAGAGAUGUGGGCCUGGAGGUGUUGGAUAAUGCCCUGCUAGCUCUGCAAGGCCCCACUGCAGCCCAGGUACUACAGGCCGGCGUGGCAGAUGACCUGAGGAAACUGCCCUUCAUGACCAGUGCUGUGAUGGAGGUGUUUGGCGUGUCUGGCUGCCGUGUGACCCGCUG